rnacentral:rRNA from 1 species
UGCCAGCCGCCGCGGUAAUACGGAAGGUGCAAGCGUUAAUCGGAAUUACUGGGCGUAAAGGGCACGUAGGCGGCGGUGAAAGUGGGAUGUGAAAUCCCCGGGCUUAACCUGGGAACUGCAUUCCAAACUCCAUCGCUAGAGUACAGUAGAGGGAGGUAGAAUUUCAGGUGUAGCGGUGAAAUGCGUAGAGAUCUGAAGGAAUACCGGUGGCGAAGGCGGCCUCCUGGACUGAUACUGACGCUGAGGUGCGAAAGCGUGGGGAGCAAACAGGAUUAGAUA